UACGGAGGGAGCUAGCGUUGUUCGGAAUUACUGGGCGUAAAGCGCACGUAGGCGGCUUUGUAAGUCAGGUGUGAAAGCCCUGGGCUCAACCCAGGAAGUGCACUUGAAACUGCGAGGCUAGAGUAUCGGAGAGGUUGGUGGAAUUCUCGGUGUAGAGGUGAAAUUCGUAGAUAUCGAGAGGAACACCGGUGGCGAAGGCGGCCAACUGGACGAAUACUGACGCUGAGACUCGAAAGCGUGGGGAGCAAACAGG
rnacentral:rRNA from 1 species